rnacentral:rRNA from 1 species
CGGCAAAAGCUCAGAUUUGAAAUCUGGCGUCAUUUUGGCGUCCGAGUUGUAAUCUGUAGAGGAGUAUUCGAGUUUGGCAUUGGCUAAAGUUCCUUGGAAGAGGGCGUCAGAGAGGGUGAGAGCCCCGU